rnacentral:snRNA from 1 species
AUGCUUGCUUCGACAGCACAUACAGUAAAAUUGGAACAAUGCAGAGAAGAUUAGCAUGGCCCCUGCACAAGGAUGACAUGCAAAUUUGUGAAGCAUUCCAUAUUAAA